rnacentral:lncRNA from 1 species
CGUUAUGUGAACAAAAUUAAUAUACCCUUGUGCACAAGUGCGCUCGGGUAUAAAAAUCGAGCAUUCUGUAUGCCGAAUGACUGGCGAGAUUCAGAAUAAGGAUAUGGAUGAAGUCGCCAGCAUGCUCCCUUUAGAAACCCUUACAGCAGUGAGGGAAAUAGAAGAAAAACUGCAGUUAAGAGAUUUCGCUCAAUCAAUGGAACUUCGGAGGAUGUGAGCACUGUUACCCGUAAAGUUUUUACGGAUGACCUCCUGGAGAAAUAUAACUGGGAUGGGAGGUGGGAAUAGAAGUCGUUGGCAGAGCUUACGCUUGUGAACACGACUCUAAGAGAUGUCUUCAAAAAUCAAGGAGCCAUUAAUUAUCAAAAAAAUGUCCGAAAAGCAGUAGAACUGAGUCACCACCGUGUUCAGCAAAAAAAAUAUUUAAAUAAGGGAAAAUCUAAAUAAUUUGUUUACAUUUAUUAUAUAUCUACUUA